AGUGACGGGAUGCCGAUCUCUCAUACUCGGACCUCCAUUCCUAACGACGAGCCGCCACGUUUGGGCGGACGCCACUCUCAUCCACAGAGUUCUUCCAUCUCACGCCGAUCGCGGCUGUUCGGCUCAGGCAACCCCGACCAUACCGCGCCGCACAAACCGUCGACUCCUCGCCAACGAAUUUCUAACGAUUGUUAGGGAUAUCAUCUAGCUCGUCUUGCCGGACGUCAAGAAGUUACGGGUUCCCCCUUCUGCAGAAAUGCACGGGAUAUGCCAAUAUCCAUCAUUAUCCCCAUCCGCCAUGUGACGCUUGUUGUCUGCCAACGUCUUUUGGAUCGAGCCGCCGGCCUGCGGCAAGAACGCGGCUAUUUGGCGUGCCGCCUGGACCCCUGCAUGCUGGGG
rnacentral:misc_RNA from 1 species